UGCAGUCGAGCGGACAGAUGGGAGCUUGCUCCCUGAUGUUAGCGGCGGACGGGUGAGUAACACGUGGGUAACCUGCCUGUAAGACUGGGAUAACUCCGGGAAACCGGGGCUAAUACCGGAUGGUUGUCUGAACCGCAUGGUUCAGACAUAAAAGGUGGCUUCGGCUACCACUUACAGAUGGACCCGCGGCGCAUUAGCUAGUUGGUGAGGUAACGGCUCACCAAGGCGACGAUGCGUAGCCGACCUGAGAGGGUGAUCGGCCACACUGGGACUGAGACACGGCCCAGACUCCUACGGGAGGCAGCAGUAGGGAAUCUUCCGCAAUGGACGAAAGUCUGACGGAGCAACGCCGCGUGAGUGAUGAAGGUUUUCGGAUCGUAAAGCUCUGUUGUUAGGGAAGAACAAGUGCCGUUCAAAUAGGGCGGCACCUUGACGGUACCUAACCAGAAAGCCACGGCUAACUACGUGCCAGCAGCCGCGGUAAUACGUAGGUGGCAAGCGUUGUCCGGAAUUAUUGGGCGUAAAGGGCUCGCAGGCGGUUUCUUAAGUCUGAUGUGAAAGCCCCCGGCUCAACCGGGGAGGGUCAUUGGAAACUGGGGAACUUGAGUGCAGAAGAGGAGAGUGGAAUUCCACGUGUAGCGGUGAAAUGCGUAGAGAUGUGGAGGAACACCAGUGGCGAAGGCGACUCUCUGGUCUGUAACUGACGCUGAGGAGCGAAAGCGUGGGGAGCGAACAGGAUUAGAUACCCUGGUAGUCCACGCCGUAAACGAUGAGUGCUAAGUGUUAGGGGGGUUUCCGCCCCUUAGUGCUGCAGCUAACGCAUUAAGCACUCCGCCUGGGGAGUACGGUCGCAAGACUGAAACUC
rnacentral:rRNA from 1 species